GCUCCGGUGGCCUUGUGAUUAGAGCGUCUGCCUCGGAUGCAGAAGGUAAUGGGUUUGAACCCCGACCGAGUUAUAGCA